UCUUUCAGAGCCGCGUAUACUGCAUCUAUUUUGUCUGCUUUGGACGUGUUAUUAGGUGCACAUUACAAAAUUGCGAUAUCGUUUAGUAUUGCUAUGUCGCAGAGUUGUAAACAUGAUAAUUUCCAAUUUUCGAGACUCUUUCGAAAGACAGCGCCGACAUUAAAUCAACAUCUGCUUCCAGCCCAUACUUGAUUUUACAUUGUAUUUUAAAUGCAAGAAACGUCAUCGAAAUCGGUGUAGCGAUUGCCGAGAAUGUCGAUUUCACCAUUCCUAAGUAUCCGGAGCUAACGCUGCAAGCAUUGCGCAUUUCAGUGCGGGCGCGUCCGGAGUUUCCUUUCUCCGUGCAAACGAAAGGCUAACGGCGCCGCGACUGGCAGACAUGGAAGGAGGAUGAGAUUGGAAUUUUCUGCCUCCCCCCAUGCUCGGCGGCCCUGGCUGCAUAGCGCCUCUUCCUCUUCACAACCACUCUCUCUAGACGCCUCCAACUAUCACGUGACAAAAGCCAUGAGCGAGGGCGUUGGUUUGGUCGCGGGAGCUCAACCUCCCUUUGCCGUUCUCUCUCGCGACGUGCCCUUUCAAUCUUUUCCGUUUCACAUCUUUCACGGCGGGAAGCGGCGCCGGUUGUUCGGGCAAGUCGGUUCGCGCGUUUGUUUCCGACUUCGAAAACUGGCCGAGCGUGCUCUCCAUUUUGUGUCUUCGAUGCGUUAACCAAGGACCCUUGCUGACCCUCGGAGUACGCGGCGUCGCUUCUUUGACUCGGAAAGCGGAUUCUGCCUCGUCGAUACGGACAAAAAAAAAAAAAAAAAAAAGUGCGAAAUCUGAGGUCAAGCAUCAUUGGAACACGCUGAAUUUUCUGCGGGUGCAUCAGCCUGUGGAAAUGUCUAAGCUAGUUCCCUGAAUCGUGAAGUGUCCAAUUUGUUAUAACAGCCAGCCACAAUGCAAAACUCUAGGAGGUGCAUUAGAAACAUUUUGCUUAUGUAGUGGCGUGUUAUUGAUUUAUUAAAAAUUCUUUGAAACCUUUGACCA